GUGAAUCAUCGAAUCUUUGAACGCACAUUGCGCCCACCAGUAUUCUGGUGGGCAUGCCUGUCCGAGCGUCAUUUCAACCCUCGAGCCCCUUACGGCGGUUCGGUGCUGGGACGCUACAGCGCGCUUGUUCGCGCUGUAGGUCCCGAAAUGCAGUGGCGGCUUCGCCGAGACCCCGAGCGCAGUAAACCGUGCCUUAGCACAGGGUCUCGUUCAGGGUGUCCGGCGGGUGCCCCGGCCGUGAAACCCCCCACCUUACAGAAGGUUGACCUCGGAUCAGGUAGGAAUACCCGCUGAACUUAAGCAUAUCAAUAAGCGGAGGA
rnacentral:misc_RNA from 1 species